rnacentral:rRNA from 1 species
UACGUAGGAUGCAAGCGUUGUCCGGAUUUAUUGGGCGUAAAGCGCGCGCAGGCGGUUUCUUAAGUCUGAUGUGAAAGCCCACGGCUCAACCGUGGAGGGUCAUUGGAAACUGGGGAACUUGAGUGCAGAAGAGAAAAGCGGAAUUCCACGUGUAGCGGUGAAAUGCGUAGAGAUGUGGAGGAACACCAGUGGCGAAGGCGGCUUUUUGGUCUGUAACUGACGCUGAGGCGCGAAAGCGUGGGGAGCAAACAGG